rfam:Ornithorhynchus anatinus chromosome 5, whole genome shotgun sequence.
CCCCUCUGAGGGUGACACCUGGAGAGUUUCCAGUGCUCUACCAGUCUUGACUAUGGGAGGGACAGUCAAGCAGAGGCAUACCCAUUCUAUUUCUAGCUUGGCCAGUGGCUAAUGAGUGGAAGACAAUCUGCUACAAGU